rnacentral:tRNA from 1 species
UCCAGAGUGGCUAGUUGGCCAGAGCACGUGAUUUGUAAUCUCGGGGUCGUGGGUUCGAAUCCCUCUGGAG